GUGCUUGCUUCAACAGCACAUAUGCUAAAACUGGGAGGAUGCAGAGAAAUUAGCACGGCCCCUGUGCAAGGAGGACACACAGAUCUGGGCAGUGUUCCAUUUUUUU
rfam:Erinaceus europaeus unplaced genomic scaffold scaffold00424, whole genome shotgun sequence